rnacentral:rRNA from 1 species
UAGGGAAUAUUGGGCAAUGGGCGAGAGCCUGACCCAGCCAUGCCGCGUGAAGGAAGAAGGCCUUCUGGGUUGUAAACUUCUUUUGAUCGGGAACAAAGACUCCUUGCGAGGAGAGUUGAGUGUACCGAUAGAAUAAGCACCGGCUAACUCCGUGCCAGCAGCCGCGGUAAUACGGAGGGUGCAAGCGUUGUCCGGAUUUAUUGGGUUUAAGGGGUGCGUAGGCGGCUUCUUAAGUCAGUGGUGAAAGCCAACAGCUCAACUGUUGAACUGCCAUUGAUACUGGGAAGCUUGAGUAUAGACGAGGUAGGCGGAAUUGACGGUGUAGCGGUGAAAUGCAUAGAUAUCGUCAAGAACACUGAUUGCGAAGGCAGCUUACUAGACUAUAACUGACGCUGAGGCACGAAAGUGUGGGGAUCAAACAGGAUUAGAUACCCUGGUAGUCCACACUGUAAACGAUGAUCACUCGAUGUGUGCGAUAUACAGUACGCGUCCAAGCUAAAGCGUUAAGUGAUCCACCUGGGGAGUACGGUCGCAAGACUGA